rnacentral:misc_RNA from 1 species
UCUCCGUUGGUGAACCAGCGGAGGGAUCAUUACAGAGUUAUCCAACUCCCAAACCCAUGUGAACUUAUCUCUUUGUUGCCUCGGCGCAAGCUACCCGGGACCUCGUGCCCCGGGCGGCCCGCCGGCGGACAAACCAAACUCUGUUAUCUUAGUUGAUUAUCUGAGUGUCUUAUUUAAUAAGUCAAAACUUUCAACAACGGAUCUCUUGGUUCUGGCAUCGAUGAAGAACGCAGC